CUUUAUCGGAGAGUUUGAUCCUGGCUCAGGACGAACGCUGGCGGCGUGCCUAAUACAUGCAAGUCGAGCGGACAGAUGGGAGCUUGCUCCCUGAUGUUC
rnacentral:rRNA from 1 species